UUUUAAAGUCUUGUGUUGACAAAGGAGAGUUAAAUAGGAAAAACCCGGAAUUCUUCACCAUGUCCACAUAGUUCAGAGGAUAAGAAGACUGACUGGCACUCCUGAGGUUGUGGGUUCAAGCCCAACCUUAUUCAGCUCUAGGUGAAAUUUAAAGUCUAGUGUCUAGAAAAGAGAGUUAAAUAGGAAAAACCCGGAAUUCUUCACCAUGUCCACAUAGCUCAGAGGAUAAGAAGACUGACUGGCACUCCUGAGAUUGUGGGUUCAAGCCCAACCUUAUUCAGCUCUAGGUGAAAUUUAAAGUCUAGUGUCUAGGAAAAGAGAGUUAAAUAGGAAAAACCCGGAAUUCUUCACCAUG